AAAAGGGGGACGUGUAUUAUUCAUUAUGUAGAGUGUACCUGGUAUUGCCACGGAAGUAAGUCACAGGUGACCAGCGACUUGCUCUGUGAGCUUUAAGUUGCGGUGAAUCUGCGCGGUUUGAAUAUCAGGAUUUGAGAUCUUAUGUUGGAGGGGAUAAGUUCGUGUCUGAUGAACUGUUUCUCACGUCUCAAGGUCACUUUCGCGGUAUCCAUUCAAGCUAAUGCACGGAUUAAAACCACGGCAAAGCUUCUCAUGAAGGUGAUAACCUCGGCUUUCAGAGGUGGGUUUCCAAGUUUUUAUUAGUUUGCAAUGGGUGUUAUGUGACGUUGAAACGAGGUCAAUUGUUUUGAACUGUAGCCUGACUUGGAGUGGAAAUACUGCGUUCCACAAUAAUUGAAGAUUUCAUCCAGUGGAAGGGCUCUCAUGAAGCAAUCAUGGUCGGAAAGAUCAGGUGGCGUGUCUAACUUCGGGAUACUAUCAAUUUGUCGUCCGUGCGAAGGCAUGGGGCCCUGCCUCUGUACACAAGGUUUGUGAUCUAUUAUAAACAAUAGUUCUUAAAUAACAUCAAGGAAUUUUUGAGUUCUUUCACAGGACAAAUUGCUCGUCACUGUAACGGAGUUGAAGAAACACCUUCUGAGUCCAAGCGCUGAGUCUCGCAUCGUCGUCGAAAUAAUUUGAAAUUGGUUCACAGAGUGUUGCUCAGCAGCAGAUCGAAUGGUGGUUGUUGUUCCUGCUGAAGUCUUCUUGGUUAAAGCUCUUUUGUUGCUGCCUGAGGGCCCUUGGUAGCUGGCUUCAUGUAGAGCUUAUGUGGCCCAGAAUUCAUAAGAAGAGAUUAUCAGACUCAACUUAUAUCGGUAAAGUGUUUACCAGAUGAGUCGGUUAAGAUUCGAGGGAUGAACUCGAUGCAGAGAUACUGCAGCUUAACCAGAGAUUGUCAAUACUCGGUUUUAUGUUCACCGCUGAUGAGCCAAUGCUAGACGUGCUCUACAGUAACCUCUCCAUUGCACAUUUAGUACACCUCUAUCAUCUAGAAGCUCAUUUCGUUUUCAAGUCUUGCGAAGCAGAACGUGUUGUUGACUAUGUUGAAUCUACUGUUCCACUUCGGACUUUAUCUCCAGACCAGAUUUCUGUGAUAGCUUUAGGUUAUGCCUUUCAAACCAAGAAAUGACUACACCUUCACAUCAAUCAUCGAAAGUUGGAGGGUGCUCGAUUUUAACAAAGUGUGUUCACAUGCGUAAAGCAACAGAGGGCCAUUCCUGGAGCACAGUUAGGUUGCAACUUGAAUGAUAAAGAGAUAGAGUUUGUUUAUUUGUGUUGAAAUCACUGUGCUUCGAACACACUCUGUGUCAUGUCCCACUGUUGGCAGCAUGUUUACAAAUGAUCACUAAAUUGUGGAGUAGUAGUUGAGGGAUGAUGUACAGGUCUUAUCUUCUGUUAUGAUAUAAACGGCAUGCCGGGAACAUCAUCUUUAACUUCAAGAAUGAGCUUGCAAAUAUUCUGGAGGUUCAUCCCUACAAAUCGUGUUACGCAGGUUGAGGGUAACUGAGGAUCUCCUCUCUACUACUAAUGUCCUUGACUUUUCGUCACCCGCAAUUUCUAAAGUGCAGUCAGACUUUUGAUUAGAACGGCGUUCUGUAUUAAAAGCUGGUGCAUUUUGUACGUGUGUCUAAGGAUGUACACACUUCGCUGCUGUGGGUACUUGCUAAAAUGUCAGCUGAGAUCUACACAACUCCGGUGAGAAAUCCGCACGAAAAAAGGUGGCUGUCUUUGACAAUUUCGGGCGGGUCGAAAGAAACAGUGUCUACAGUUCGGUGAGCACAUGUCAAAAAGAGGGUGCCAAUUACUAUGCACCAUGAUAUAAUCAGCUAGCAGUCGUGCUCGUAGUUCAUUUCUCAGUUCUUUCGAAGGAUUGGGUGGCGCUCUCAUUGUGGGGGCAGAGGCGUUCUACCCUAGGUUUGCAUACUGCAAGCUGAGAUGGGUCGUAAAUGUAGAGAAAGCCUGACGAGUUCUAGACGUAAUAAGUAAGUUUCAUCCUAGACGAGCGGCUCGACUGACUCCUUUAAUUCAAACUUUACACGAAACUUGAAACAACCUAAUCAUUCAAAUAUGCUGCCGCGCAGAUUUGGAAAAUAGAAGAAACGAUGCUCCUUAGAAGAACGACAACGGAUUCCUCCCUCCUAUUCAUACCUCUUUUCACCAGUGUGAUGCCUAAGGGUCUACCCAGACACCGUCAAAUCUGAAACUUUGACUAUUUUAAUCUCAGUUCACACACCACUGACUGCUCAGGAAUUUUCAGAUUUAGAAGAUAACACAAUAUUAAGAUUCUUAAGAAAAACUCAAAAAGAAUCAGGCUGUCAAAUGACUUUGUCGUACAUAUUUUCAGUGGGACGGUGGACGAUGGAGGAAUUGGGAGCCGAGCACUAAGAAACGUGCUCUUACUUUUCCACAAGGAAAUCCUUACUUCUCCUAGAUAAAUGAAGAGAGGGGGUUAGCGCUGGACACGGUGAUGGUUUUGGCAGUGUGACCUUUGAGACCUGAAACUGCGCAGGACUGCGAAUCGAUGAGAUGCCUGCUUACCAACAUCAACCAUGCAAUUCUUAUGCACAAUUAGUGGGGUGAAAAAGGUGACAAGAAUGGCAUAUACGACCUGGUUGCUACAGGAAACGAGCACGGACCAUCUGGCAACAUGGAACUUGAUGAACGGUGUGUUGAAUUGGGCAUGAACAGCAAGGACAUACUAGCGUAUCUCCCAUUCAACUUCGAGUGGUAUUUACAUCACAAUCUUACUGCAACUACAGUAUUUAGCAGUUAAAACCCCUAAAUGCUACUGGACCUUUGCUACAAUAAAGCAGAAGGACGGUUUAAUAGAUG